rnacentral:lncRNA from 1 species
CAAAAUAUAAGUUUAUCCUUUGAAAAUUUUAAUUUUUUUAUUUUUCAAAAUUUGAAAUCUUAUCCCCAAAACCUCAUUUCUCAACUCUAAACCCUAAACCUUAAACUCUAAACCCUAAACCCUAAACCCUAAACCCUAAACCCUAAACUCUAAACCCUAAACCCUAAACUCUAAACCCUAAACACUAAACCCUAAACCCUAAACCCUAAACUCUAAACCCUAAACCCUAAACCCUAAACCCUAAACUCUAAACCUUAAACCCUAAAUCCUAAACCCCACCCUUUAACUCUAAACCCUAAGUUUUUGACUUUUGAUAA